GACGAACCGUGCGAACGUGGUUCGGAAUCACUGGGCUUAAAGGGCGCGUAGGCGGCUUCGCAAGUCCGGGGUGAAAGCCUCCAGCUCAACUGGAGAAGUGCCUUGGAUACUGCGGGGCUCGAGGGAGGUAGGGGUGCGUGGAACUUCCGGUGGAGCGGUGAAAUGCGUUGAUAUCGGAAGGAACGCCGGUGGCGAAAGCGACGCACUGGACCUCUUCUGACGCUGAGGCGCGAAAGCCAGGGGAGCAAACGGG
rnacentral:rRNA from 1 species